rnacentral:rRNA from 1 species
AUUGAACGCUGGCGGAAUGCUUUACACAUGCAAGUCGAACGGUAGAGGGGGCAACCCCUCGAGAGUGGCGAACGGGUGAGUAAUAUAUCGGAACGUGCCUAGUCGUGGGGGAUAACGUAGCGAAAGUUACGCUAAUACCGCAUACGAUCUAAGGAUGAAAGCGGGGGAUCGCAAGACCUCGCGCGAUUGGAGCGGCCGAUAUCAGAUUAGGUAGUUGGUGGGGUAAAGGCUCACCAAGCCAACGAUCUGUAGCUGGUCUGAGAGGACGACCAGCCACACUGGAACUGAGACACGGUCCAGACUCCUACGGGAGGCAGCAUUGGGGAAGUUUGGACAAUGGACGCAAGUCUGAUCCAGCCAUUCCGCGUGCAGGAUGAGGGCCCUCGGGUUGUAAACUGCUUUUGUACGGAACGAAAAGGUCUCUCUUAAUACGGGGGGCUCAUGACGGUACCGUAAGAAUAAGCACCGGCUAACUACGUGCCAGCCGCCGCCGUAA